UAGAUAAUCUCCUAUGAAAGAACAAAAAAUGUAACACCCCCACACCUCAAAAGAGUGACGGGCCCUAAUCCUUAGGUCUACAUUCCAGGUUGCAGAGUCAAAAGAGCUUGCACUGUUGCUUCCUCCACCCACCUCUUCAACAGCCAGGAGCAGAAGAAUUCCCUAAUGAUAACUCCUAAAGAGACACUUAAAGUUCAAAGCUCUAGCACAUGAUGAAAGUAAGUUGAAUGACCUAAAGAGGAGAAACAGGGAGAUGGUGCAUCCUGACAAUUAGGAAGGGAAGCUCCAAGGCUUCUGAAAGAGUGAAUCUCCUGAACUUAAAUAAAAUAAUGAUGCUAAAUGCCCUACACAAAAUGGAAUCUCUCUGAGGCAAGCCAGUCCUCAAAAGGCCUGGCAACAUGGGCACUUAUAAGGACUUGGUGUUAAGCACAGAGCCUCGGUAACUUCAGCAAAGACACUUCGUGGCAGAGAUGGAAAAGUGGAGCCAUCUUGUCUUGAUGGAUCAUGAAACCACGGUGGGGAGCCAGGGCCACAGGAACUAUUGUGCACUAAUGACCCAUGCCUUGCCAGACAUAAAAGACUCAG
rnacentral:lncRNA from 1 species